AAAUUGAAGAGUUUGAUCAUGGCUCAGAUUGAACGCUGGCGGCAGGCCUAACACAUGCAAGUCGAACGGUAACAGGAAGCAGCUUGCUGUUUCGCUGACGAGUGGCGGACGGGUGAGUAAUGUCUGGGAAACUGCCUGAUGGAGGGGGAUAACUACUGGAAACGGUAGCUAAUACCGCAUAACGUCGCAAGACCAAAGAGGGGGACCUUCGGGCCUCUUGCCAUCGGAUGUGCCCAGAUGGGAUUAGCUUGUUGGUGGGGUAACGGCUCACCAAGGCGACGAUCCCUAGCUGGUCUGAGAGGAUGACCAGCCACACUGGAACUGAGACACGGUCCAGACUCCUACGGGAGGCAGCAGUGGGGAAUAUUGCACAAUGGGCGCAAGCCUGAUGCAGCCAUGCCGCGUGUAUGA
rnacentral:rRNA from 1 species